rnacentral:rRNA from 1 species
UACGUAGGUGGCGAGCGUUAUCCGGAAUUACUGGGCGUAAAGGGCGCGCAGGCGGCUGUUUAAGUCUGACGUGAAAGCUCCUGGCUUAACUGGGAGAGGUCGUUGGAGACUGAAUGGCUUGAGGCAAUGAGAGGGAUGCGGAAUUCCCGGUGUAGUGGUGGAAUGCGUAGAUAUCGGGAGGAACACCAGUGGCGAAAGCGGCAUCCUGGCAUUGACCUGACGCUCAUGUGCGAAAGCGUGGGGAGCGAACGGG